AGAGUUUGAUCCUGGCUCAGAACGAACGCUGGCGGCAUGCCUAACACAUGCAAGUCGAACGAGACCUCGGGUCUAGUGGCGCACGGGUGCGUAACACGUGGGAAUCUGCCCUUCGGUUCGGAAUAACUCAGGGAAACUUGAGCUAAUACCGGAUAAUGACGUAAGUCCAAAGAUUUAUCGCCGAAGGAUGAGCCCGCGUA
rnacentral:rRNA from 1 species